ACAAGAACUUAUGUUCACGCAAGAUCACAUUCUAUAGUUGCAGGUGGACCUGAGUUUUGAGAGACAAGGCUGUUCACCCCAGGCCAUUGGGUCAAGUUGUUUUUUAAGUCCUUGUGGCAUGUAGGAUCUUAGUUUCCCUGACCAGGGACGGAACCUGCACCUCCUGCAUCGAGAGGUGGAGCCUCUGGACCACCAGGGAAGAGACUGGACCACCAGGGAGACCCCCACUGGGUCAAGUUUCUGAGACAGCUGUUUAAGGACCAAAACAUUCCUGUUUGGGGUAAUUCCCAGGAUUCUAUAAAACCUAGGUGGAGGGGAUCAGAGAUGCAAGUACUGACAGUUGUUUGGAAUCAACGAGAUGAAAGCUCUUGUCAGAGGCCUGGGGAAUCAGGAAGUCUACUGACAAUCAUGAGUCCUUUACAUGAAGAUUGAGAAAUGGACGUUUCACAAAACCUGGCAAAGAGGAGACGAUCGCUUUUGGGAACACAGAGAGCCAGGGUGGUUAAAUGAAGAUUAAAACUUAGGGGCUCUGACUCCAUUCUGGCCAGCAUGUAUCAUAGCAUCACAUACGGCCACGUGUCUCUCCUUGCCCCUGAACUUUGACAGUAAAUAUUUGACUGAUUUGACUGGUGAGGAGGACCUGAACAGUAAAUAUUUUACAAGGGGAAA